UACGAAGGGGGCUAGCGUUGCUCGGAAUCACUGGGCGUAAAGCGCACGUAGGCGGCUUUUUAAGUCAGGGGUGAAAUCCUGGAGCUCAACUGGAGAACUGCCUCGGAUACUGGGUGUCUCGAGUGUGGUAGGGGUAUGCGGAACUAUCGGUGGAGCGGUGAAAUGCGUUGAUAUCGAUAGGAACUCCGGUGGCGAAGGCGGCAUACUGGACCACUACUGACGCUGAUGCGCGAAAGCCAGGGGAGCAAACGGG
rnacentral:rRNA from 1 species